rnacentral:lncRNA from 1 species
AAACCAACUUCAACACUCACCCUCACAUCUAGCGUGGGAUUGGGUCCAAUUCCAAAACUGCAAUCCAUAACCCGACUCACCUUGUUAAAUUGACUUGGAUCUCAUCCCAAAUGCUAACUUAAAAGAUGAAGGUUCUAAAACAUACUUAUACACUCAACAACCUGAAAACCUGAGCAAUGUGGGACAAAUAACAAACUACAAACAACUUCAAAAUUAACUUCCACAGAAAACCUGAUCAAUGUGGGACAAAUAACAAACUACAAACAACUUCAAAAUUAACUUCCACACC